GUUAACGCUGGCGGCGUGCCUAACACAUGCAAGUCGAACGGUUCUAAGCGCGAGCUUAGGAUAGUGGCGAACGGGUGAGUAAAAAGGUAGGAAUCUACCCCUUGGACGGAGAUAGCUACUGGAAACGGUAGGUAAACUUCGAUAAGCCCGAGAGGGGAAAGUGGUGAGACAGCCGAGGGAUGAGCCUACUCUCCAUCAGGUAGUUGGUGAGAUAAAAGCUUACCAAGCCGAUGACGGAUAACCGGUGUGAGAGCAUGAACGGUCACAAGGGCACUGAGAGACGGGCCCUACUCCUACGGGAGGCAGCAGUGGGGAAUCUUGGACAAUGGGCGAAAGCCUGAUCCAGCGACGCCGCGUGGAGGAAGAAGUCCUUCGGGAUGUAAACUUCUGAGCUAGCCGAAUAAAAGGCCUGUGGACACACAGGAGAAGAAAGUAGGCUAGGAAAAGUCCCGGCUAACUACGUG
rnacentral:rRNA from 1 species